rnacentral:rRNA from 1 species
AUUGAACGCUGGCGGCAGGCCUAACACAUGCAAGUCGAGCGAGUGGCGGACGGGUGAGUAAUGUAUGGGGAUCUGCCUGAUGGAGGGGGAUAACUACUGGAAACGGUAGCUAAUACCGCAUACCAUCGGAUGAACCCAUAUUGGAUUAGCUUGUAGGUGGGGUAACGGCUCACCUAGGCGACGAUCCCUAGCUGGUCUGAGAGGAUGACCAGCCACACUGGGACUGAGACACGGCCCAGACUCCGACGGGAGGCAGCAGGGGGGAAUAUUGCACAAUGGGCGAAAGCCUGAUGCAGCCAUGCCGAGUGUAUGAAGAAGGCCUUCGGGUUGUAAAGUACUUUCAUUCGGGAGGCGUUACCCGCAGAAGAAGCACCGGCUAACUCCGUGCCAGCAGGCGCGGUAAUAC